GGGUAUGGACUUAGGAGAAAACUGGGAUCUAUACAGUACGAUCAUUAUAGGUUGAUCUCAUCCCGGGAACAUCAAGCCAGGGACUUUACACAGUCCCGUGCGUCCUCAUCUAAAGGAGAAAACUGGUUCUAGAAGAGACUAUGGUAUGUGCCUAUUCCACCAAAGGUUCGUGUAUUUUGGUGGCGUGUCCUGCAUGAGUAUAUCCCGUCGCGAGCGAAUCUGCAUAGGAAGCAUAUUG
rnacentral:lncRNA from 1 species